rnacentral:rRNA from 1 species
AACCCAGACUCCUACGGGAGGCAGCAGUGGGGAAUAUUGGGCAAUGGGCGCAAGCCUGACCCAGCAACGCCGCGUGAAGGAAGAAGGCUUUCGGGUUGUAAACUUCUUUUAUGAGGGACGAAAGAAAUGACGGUACCUCAUGAAUAAGCCACGGCUAACUACGUGCCAGCAGCCGCGGUAAUACGUAGGUGGCAAGCGUUAUCCGGAUUUACUGGGUGUAAAGGGCGUGUAGGCGGUAUGUCAAGUCAAGGGUGAAAUCCCCGCGCUCAACGUGGGAACUGCCUUUGAAACUGGCAAACUGGAGUGUGUGAGAGGAUAGUGGAAUUCCAGGUGUAGGAGUGAAAUCCGUAGAUAUCUGGAGGAACAUCAGUGGCGAAGGCGACUAUCUGGCACAUAACUGACGCUGAGGAGCGAAAGCGUGGGUAGCAAACAGGAUUAGAUACCCCGGUA